AACAAAUCCAACUUGAUAAAUAUAUUCUAGUACACCCGUAGCCACUGCGGACCACAAGCAAAACAGAGGACAAGAGAGGUGGCCGUCGCCUGAGGAGAUUGUAGGGUCUAUGGCCUGAAGAGACUAUAGGGACCCCAUCCCUUCGCUAUUUCCCGGUAUCGGGCAGCCGGGGCGCAUCCAAUCCCACGAUCGUCGUCGCCCCUAAAUCAACACAACAACAACUACCACUGGGCUGGUUUACUCUUCAGGACACAGCGUUAGUGAAGUACUGAGUGCUAGUUAUACCCACUGUAUGUUCUAGUGUCUUCUGGUGCUUCUGGUAACAAUUACUUCCUCUACGAAGAAAACAAGAUAAACCUUACAUGAAGCUGCUGAGCAUUUGUUUCGUAUCGUCAUUGACUCUCGAGUUGGCAAAGCUGAUGCAGGAGCAGUAUAGCACAACCCAUGCACACCACUUCAACUGCAAAUGACAGCCCUGAGGUUACCUGAGGUUUCAAUCAACUUGCCUAAAAGGUCAACACUCCAAAAACGAAGGGUGAACAGGAGCACUGUCCAGAGCGAACGAUGCACUAGAACCCCUACCCCAGCCAGGAACCAGGAGAUAUGGAUCUACACAUGGCCCAAAGCUGGAUCCGAAGAACUCAACUGAAGCAGACUGAGGCUAAAAUACUGCACUGCCAGCUAUCAAAGAUUGAUCUACCUUCCCUUCCCGCCCAACCACUUGGGCUAGACAGUAGAGCGAAGGCCCAUUUUUUUGCAAGCCGGUUUUCAAUCCCCGACUGUCCAAGUGGUUGGGCACAAUUUCGUCCCCAUGUCCCAUCAAAAAUCCUUAUAUUGAUCCCUUCCAAAUGCUAUAUAGUUAUAAUGAUUUAGUGAUUUCUCCUAAUAAUUCCCUUCCCUUCCCUUUCCCUCCAGAAAGUAGAGAGGGUGUAAAAAGAGAGGCAAACCGCAAGGAAUACAACUAAGAAGAUUCCUGAUGAUCUAGAACUGCACGCUGGAAAGCACGACAGGCCGCAUAUAGUGUAAAUAUGCAACCACAUCCCACAGCAGCAGCUCAAACAACUAGAGCAAUGCUAUCAAGGCAAUCUUUGAAGACAACACAAAUGGUGAAACCAGCUGGGAAGAACCCUGCUCUAAACAUAAUUACACCUGAUCAACCAGCUGUGACUCAUACGUCAGGCUGCGAGCAGCCGCAUCCAACAGCCUGGUUGAUCAGUCCGGCAACCAGGAGGCCUGGUCGACGACCGGGCCGCGGGGACGCUAAGCCCCGGAAGCACCUCAAGGUAACACUGAGAAGAGCUCCAGAGUUGCACAAAAAUAGAGACCCUAUGCCAAAUGGAUCUAAAAUUUGUGGUCCAACAUGAUCUAUUACAGAAUGUACUUAUCAUUUUGACAAUGGCAUAUGAUAGAGCAAUCAUUGGCAAACAAUUCCAUUUAAAAAUCAUAAUUACAGUAUAUGACAAUUAUUGGUGGUCCCAACAUAACAUAAUGACCAGGAUUUACACAAACUCAACCAUUCUUGACAUAAAUCCCAGUAAAUUGAGGGUACCGGUAGUAUAGUCGAGUUCGUUCUUGACUCGCAAUCUAGAAUUCUGGGUUCAAAUCCCAGGCAACAUAGAAAUGGCGGGUGUGUAUCCUAUCACCUAAUGUACCUGUUCACCUAGCAGGAAAUAGGUACCCAAAAGUCAGUCAGCUUAUUGUGGGGUUGCAUACUGGGGAGGGUCAGUAAUUAGACCCUAGGGAUAGGGGGGAAAGGGGGGGGGGGAACCUGGAUACAAACCUAACAUGUACUGUAUGUAUAACCUGGCUGCCAGUCCUCCAACACAAUGAAUUAUUAUUAUUAAUAAAUUAUUCGCAAAAAAUUCUUUUAUGAUGCGUCUUGAUUAUGGCAUAUGAUACUGAUCACGGAUAAUUUGGUAUUAAAAUUAUAGAUGUACACACACACAACUUUAUUGAAACCAAACAUUCAAAAGGAGAGAACUUUUUCACCAAGGUUGAGAGAGGAAAUGAGGAAGGGAUAGUCUCACACCCUCCCUCCCUCUUCCCCCAUGCCCAGCAUUCAGCCGACUGCUGUUGCUUUGUCACACUUUUGGCUCACUUCACUCUCAUGCCAUAAAUUUUUCAGUAAAGUGAAAAUGUAUUUUGACUUAAUUACAAUCUUCGGCACAAUAAUUACCGAAUAAUGGACAUCCAUGUUAGUCACAAGGGUCGAGUUGACGGUUCUCCAACCUCCUAUCAAUUAAAAAACUAGGAAGAUCAGACCUAUGUGACAGGUAUUGAAGUAUUAUUAGUGUGACUCCAACUGUACACACAGAAGAUGAUGCAAAGCACCAACAUGGCACACGAGUCAGAAUCAGACAUAACACACACUAAAAUACCCAGCAACAGGCCUGGCCACGUGGACCGAGUCCCAAGCAGUACUGAUGUAAUGGCAACUCAAAAGGAGAAGCCCUGACUAGGACAACACCCAGAAUCUUGAAAAAUAUUACUGGUGGGAAUGGGUAAUACAAACUAGCUACAAGGCAGAGAGUUGAGAAACUAAAUCAGAAUGAAUGAACAGCUAAGGGCACACAAGAUGGGUGCCUUAAACUGACAAGUGAAGCAUGAAUAUAAACAAUACAAAAAGCAUGGCUCCCACAGAAAAUGUUCCCAUGAAUGCCAACAUCACUUACAUACAAUAUACAGUAGUUCAUAAAAUAUGAGUUGAAAACAAAAAAAACUGAGCAAGCUAGUGCCAGGAUGAAUAGGGAUGAUAGUGGUAGACAAUGGGGAUGAUACCGUGGGCUUCAGAACAGACCCUAUAAUGCCAGAAACCCAAAACUUACUCUCAUCAUUAGACCACACAUGCUGAAGAUCAUGCCUAGUACAUUCAUGUAGUCAGUAGUUGGAUCUUCACCAGGGGCCCCUGGAGUCCCUUGUGCUGAUGGUUUGUACCUGUCAAUGGUCAAAUUACAUUAUAUUGCAGUUGGUAUGUAUAAAAAUGUAAUAUUAAUGCAUUAUUAUUAUUACUGUAUCAGUAAGGUGUUAUUGAUCAAAUAAGUAACAUUAAAGCAUGAGUGAGAAGGCAAAUAAAAUGAAUUCAAUAAACACAGGUUUUAUAAUUCUCUUUGCAAGAAGUGAUUAGUUAUGGAAAAUCAGGAGGGAAGAUGAGAGAACAUAU